rnacentral:rRNA from 1 species
GAUGAACGCUAGCGACAGGCCUAACACAUGCAAGUCGAGGGGCAUCGGGACGUAGCAAUACGUUGCCGGCGACCGGCGGAUGGGUGAGUAACGCGUAUGCAACCUACCCGUAGCAGGGGGAUAGCCCGUUGAAAGACGGAUUAAUACCCCGUAACACAGGGGCUCCGCAUGGAGAUUAUUGUUAAAGGGUCAUUUCUUUUAGAGGUGGUCCGGCUGCGGAUGGGCAUGCGUUCCAUUAGGUAGUUGGUGUAGGUAACGGCUCACCAAGCCGACGAUGGAUAGGGGAACUGAGAGGUUGGUCCCCCACACUGGUACUGAGACACGGACCAGACUCCUACGGGAGGCAGCAGUGAGGAAUCUUGGUCAAUGGACGCAAGUCUGAACCAGCCAUGUCGCGUGAAGGAGGACGGCCCUAAGGGUUGUAAACUUCUUUUGCAGCGGAAUAAAGUUUGCCACGAGUUGGCGAUUUGCAAGUACGCUGCGAAUAAGGAUCGGCUAACUCCGUG